rnacentral:rRNA from 1 species
UCCGUAGGUGAACCUGCGGAGGGAUCAUUACCGAGUUUACAACUCCCAAACCCCUGUGAACAUACCUUAAUGUUGCCUCGGCGGAUCAGCCCGCGCCCCGUAAAACGGGACGGCCCGCCAGAGGACCCAAACUCUAAUGUUUCUUAUUGUAACUUCUGAGUAAAACAAACAAAUAAAUCAAAACUUUCAACAACGGAUCUCUUGGUUCUGGCAUCGAUGAAGAACGCAGCAAAAUGCGAUAAGUAAUGUGAAUUGCAGAAUUCAGUGAAUCAUCGAAUCUUUGAACGCACAUUGCGCCCGCUGGUAUUCCGGCGGGCAUGCCUGUUCGAGCGUCAUUUCAACCCUCAAGCCCCCGGGUUUGGUGUUGGGGAUCGGCUCUGCCCUUCUGGGCGGUGCCGCCCCCGAAAUACAUUGGCGGUCUCGCUGCAGCCUCCAUUGCGUAGUAGCUAACACCUCGCAACUGGAACGCGGCGCGGCCAUGCCGUAAAACCCCAACUUCUGAAUGUUGACCUCGGAUCAGGUAGGAAUACCCGCUGAACUUAAGCAUAUCAAAUAAGCGGAGGAAGUCGACUGCCCAAGGGCACACAGGGGGGGGGGAUA